ensembl:snRNA U7 U7 small nuclear RNA
AAGUGAGGACACCUCUUAGAAUUUAUCUAGCAGGUUUCCUGGUUCUUACUGGAAGACCCCA